GACGAACGCUGGCGGCGUGCUUAACACAUGCAAGUCGAACGAAGUGGCGAACGGGUGAGUAAUACGUGGGUAACCUGCCCUCCUUUUUGGGAUAAGCCUUUCAAACGGGGUCUAAUACCGAAUAAAGGGGGUUGGGCUCGCGGCCUAUCAGCUUGUUGGUGGGGUGAUGGCCUACCAAGGCGGUGACGGGUAGCCGGCCUGAGAGGGUGACCGGACACAUUGGGACUGAGAUACGGCCCAGACGCCUACGGGAGGCAGCAGUGGGGGAUAUUGCACAAUGGGAGAAAGCCUGAUGCAGCGACGGCGCGUGGGGGAUGAAGGCUUUCGGGUUGUAAACCUCUAUCGCUAUCGAAAAGGUAGGUGGAGCAGAAGCGCCGGCUAACUACGUGCCAGCAGUCGCGGUAAUAC
rnacentral:rRNA from 1 species